GUCGAGCGGACAGAAGGGAGCUUGCUCCCGGAUGUUAGCGGCGGACGGGUGAGUAACACGUGGGUAACCUGCCUGUAAGACUGGGAUAACUCCGGGAAACCGGAGCUAAUACCGGAUAGUUCCUUGAACCGCAUGGUUCAAGGAUGAAAGACGGUUUCGGCUGUCACUUACAGAUGGACCCGCGGCGCAUUAGCUAGUUGGUGAGGUAACGGCUCACCAAGGCGACGAUGCGUAGCCGACCUGAGAGGGUGAUCGGCCACACUGGGACUGAGACACGGCCCAGACUCCUACGGGAGGCAGCAGUAGGGAAUCUUCCGCAAUGGACGAAAGUCUGACGGAGCAACGCCGCGUGAGUGAUGAAGGUUUUCGGAUCGUAAAGCUCUGUUGUUAGGGAAGAACAAGUGCAAGAGUAACUGCUUGCACCUUGACGGUACCUAACCAGAAAGCCACGGCUAACUACGUGCCAGCAGCCGCGGUAAUACGUAGGUGGCAAGCGUUGUCCGGAAUUAUUGGGCGUAAAGGGCUCGCAGGCGGUUUCUUAAGUCUGAUGUGAAAGCCCCCGGCUCAACCGGGGAGGGUCAUUGGAAACUGGGAAACUUGAGUGCAGAAGAGGAGAGUGGAAUUCCACGUGUAGCGGUGAAAUGCGUAGAGAUGUGGAGGAACACCAGUGGCGAAGGCGACUCUCUGGUCUGUAACUGACGGAGCGGACAGAAGGGAGCUUGCUCCCGGAUGUUAGCGGCGGACGGGUGAGUAACACGUGGGUAACCUGCCUGUAAGACUGGGAUAACUCCGGGAAACCGGAGCUAAUACCGGAUAGUUCCUUGAACCGCAUGGUUCAAGGAUGAAAGACGGUUUCGGCUGUCACUUACAGAUGGACCCGCGGCGCAUUAGCUAGUUGGUGAGGUAACGGCUCACCAAGGCGACGAUGCGUAGCCGACCUGAGAGGGUGAUCGGCCACACUGGGACUGAGACACGGCCCAGACUCCUACGGGAGGCAGCAGUAGGGAAUCUUCCGCAAUGGACGAAAGUCUGACGGAGCAACGCCGCGUGAGUGAUGAAGGUUUUCGGAUCGUAAAGCUCUGUUGUUAGGGAAGAACAAGUGCAAGAGUAACUGCUUGCACCUUGACGGUACCUAACCAGAAAGCCACGGCUAACUACGUGCCAGCAGCCGCGGUAAUACGUAGGUGGCAAGCGUUGUCCGGAAUUAUUGGGCGUAAAGGGCUCGCAGGCGGUUUCUUAAGUCUGAUGUGAAAGCCCCCGGCUCAACCGGGGAGGGUCAUUGGAAACUGGGAAACUUGAGUGCAGAAGAGGAGAGUGGAAUUCCACGUGUAGCGGUGAAAUGCGUAGAGAUGUGGAGGAACACCAG
rnacentral:rRNA from 1 species